rnacentral:rRNA from 1 species
UACGUAGGGUGCGAGCGUUGUCCGGAAUUAUUGGGCGUAAAGAGCUCGUAGGCGGCCUGUUGCGUCUGCUGUGAAAGCCCGGGACUCAACCCCGGGUCUGCAGUGGAUACGGGCAGGCUAGAGUCCGGCAGGGGAGACUGGAAUUCCUGGUGUAGCGGUGAAAUGCGCAGAUAUCAGGAGGAACACCGGUGGCGAAGGCGGGUCUCUGGGCCGGUACUGACGCUGAGGAGCGAAAGCGUGGGGAGCGAACAGG